rnacentral:rRNA from 1 species
AUUGAACGCUGGCGGCAGGCUUAACACAUGCAAGUCGAGCGAGCGGCGGACGGGUGAGUAAUGUCUGGGAAACUGCCUGAGGGAGGGGGAUAACUACUGGAAACGGUAGCUAAUACCGCAUACAAUCAGGUGUGACCAGAUGGGAUUAGCUAGUCGGUGGGGUAAUGGCUCCCCUAGGCGACGAUCCCUAGCUGGUAUGCGCGGAUGACCAGUCACACGGGAACUGAGACACGGUCCAGACUCGUACGGUAGGCAGCAGUGGGGAACAGUGCACAAUGGGCGCAAGCCUGAUGCAGCCAUGCCGCGUGUGUGAAGAAGGCCUUCGGGUUGUAAAGCACGUUCAGCGAUGAGGCGUUACUCGCAGAAGAAGCACAGGCUAACUCCGUGCCAGCAGCCGCGGUAAUAC